rnacentral:tRNA from 1 species
GCGGGUGUAGCUCAGUGGUAGAGCGCGACCUUGCCAAGGUCGAUGUCGACAGUUCGAAUCUGUUCACCCGCUCCA